UAUCAACAUCUCUCUCAAUUCUGCUCAAGUGAUUAGCCACCAAAUUUUGUGCUUCACUUCUAUCUCGAAUCUCCGAAUCAAACUCUUGGAGGAAAAACAUCCAUCUAACUAACCUUGGCUUGGAUUGAACUUCCUGCAACAUGAACUUUAAAGUUGAACUUUCUGUUGGCUUAGGGUUUUAGGGUUUCAAUGUGAUGAAUCAUUCAAACAUGCACUUGAUGCUACCGUCCAGGUUCCGUGGAAGAAUGGAGGAAUCAAAGCGGCGGAGGACGGAGGAAGGACUGUGAAUACUGAGAGUAACACGUCUGGUCUCAGUUUUGAUGGUGAAGACCAAAAGCCUGAUGGGAAUGUUGGGAAGAGGAAAUUUCUCAUGCUGAUAGCUCAGCUAUGAUGCAAGAUAUUGUGGUGGCUGCGGUUUGUCGUUGCCAUGCAAAACCAUGAAGAAGAUCAAGGAUUCAAGUCACACACCUCAAUUUCAUUGCAAACACUGUGCUGAGGUUAUAAAAAGUGGUGUAUUUAUUCAUAAUGCUUUCAAGAUUUUCACUAGCGAAGUUUAUAGCAGAUCCCUAUAUUCAAUAAAUAUUAGCAAUUGCUUGGACCUGCAACCUCCUCUUUACCUCUCUCCAAAAUCCACCUGUGAAACCCUUUUGCGGCACCAACCUCCAUCCCUCUGAUUACUUUCCUGAUGCCUUUUUAAUGCAAGCUCCACGUGAUGUUUUCAGCUUCAUAUCGUAUUACCUCUAAUAAUUUUCUUUUUGAGAGAGUGGAACAUCACCUCUGUGCAGAAUAUGCUCAACAUUUGUGCUAUGGAACUGGAUCAAUUUUGGUUCAUGAGGAUGAUUUGUGGAAUCAUUUUGAGCACAUGGUAAAUGUGGAAGUGGACAAUGCAGUUUAUAAUUAUUCAAAACAAAGAGCAGUUGAUACAAUGGUUUACGUAUUGGAAAUGAGGUUAAACUCUCAAUGGGUGAAGGAGUUCAAGUAUCCCAAUUUGCUGGCAGAGCAUUACAAGUCAUAUGCUUGCCUUUUUCGUCAAUGGAUCUCACAGCACAUUCUAGUUAUUUUACCCAUGCUUGUUGGAUGCAUAGCUUUGUUCUGGAAUGUCCAUGGAAACUGCACAUGUCCCGACGAGUUGAGGAGCUUUACAACAAGGCAAAUCGACUUGUAGGCUUCUUUUCAGAUUUUGAGAGGAUGGUGUCAUUUAAGGGGAUGAUUAUACAAUGUAGCUCAAUCAUAGCGGAAAUAAGGGAAGCUAUAUUUAGGUGUCUUGUGUGUGGAUUCUGCACUGAACCAGUUGCUGUAGAGAGAGGGCGGAUUACUGUACCUACUAUAUGCUUGAGGGAAGAUUGCACUGGUUCACAACCAAUGCAGGUUUUCAGAUAAGUAAAUUGUGAGGAUCCAGGAGACUCCUGAUGAGAUGCCUAAAGGAGGAACACUUCACAGUUCACACAGUUAGCUUGCUGAUGCAGGACAAGCUGGUAGAUGCUGGAAAGCGAGGUGACGGAGUUGAGGUGACUGGUAUUUGUAGGGCUAUGAGUGUCAGGGGCCAACUCAGAAUUGUCAAGUCAUUAUUCAAGAUAUAUAUUGAUUGUCUUCACAUAAAGAAGUCCGUUGAGUCCAGGAUGCUGAUAGGGGAUACUAUGGAGGUUGACAAUCCCCAGGGAAAAAAUGCAGAAGUUGCCUUUGAUGAAGAAAAGGUGGCUAAACUGAAGAUGUCAAAAGAUCCGAUAUAUAUGAAAGACUAACAAAGUCAUUAGUGCCAAACAUCUAAGAGCUAGGUGAUGUGAAGAAAGACCUUCUUUGUCAGCUUUUUAGUGGCAAUGCUUUGACGUUGGCAUCCGGUGCUAGCUUCGGUGGUGAUAUAAAUAUUCUUCUCGUUGGUGAUCCUGGGACAAGCAAGUCCCAACCACUACAGUACAUAUACACAAAUUAUCUCCACGUUGCAUUCACACAAGUGGAAGGAGGAGUUCUGCUGUUGGACAAACGGCUUAUGUGACCAAAUAUCCUGAAACAGGCUAAAUACAUUUAUUUAUUUUUUUAAUCGCCUUUUGUACAAGAAAUUUGGUGGACUCUAAUUAUUUCUGCUUAAUCUUCAGGUUCUUGAGAGUGGUGCCCUAGUUUUGAGUGAUCGUGGUAUCUGCUAUAUAGAUGAAUUCGGUAGAAUGUCUGACAAUGCCAGGAGCAUGUUACAAGAGGUUAUGCAACAACAAACCGUUUCAAUAGCAAAGGCAGACAUUAUUGCUUCUCUUAACUUCGAUGUUGGCUUGUGCAAAUCCAAGUGGGUCACGAUAUAGUCCUCGCUUGACCGUCAUUGACAACAUACACCUUCUUCCCACUCUUCUGUCCAGAUGUUGAAUGUUGAUAGUGGAAAUGUCAAGGCAUCAUAGAACGCAGCAGCCAUCAGGUUGUCCCUGAUCAGUACUUACUUAUGAAAGUGCUCCAUCAAGAUUCAAGAAUGUGAAGUGAAUCUGACGUGAACCUUGGAGGACGAUGGCUAUGGCAGAUAUAGCAUAGAAGUAUGUUUUUGUUUCAGUCUUAUUCAUUUUUGUUGGUUCUGUAAAUGGCCUCUUAAUAUUGCUUUGUAAUAACCCGGUGAGAUGAGUGGUGGGUAUGAUCUCGGUGAGGCUGCUUUUUCUAUUUAAACACUUGUGUGUACUCAUAGGGUCAAUCGUGAGCAACGCUUAGCUAUCCAUCUGAGAAUGGCUUGGAUAGAAGCAGAACCAAGCUGUGGGUACGUACCCGUACCGGAGUACGUAUUGACCAAGCUGUGGGUACAUGAAUUCUCAAGGUGCAUGAACAAUAAACAAGAACAACAAUUUAUGGGAAGUUCCGGUGGAGGAUUUUGAUUCGGUGAUAGAUACCAAUGUCAAAGCUACCAAUGUGUUGCGACACUUUAUCCUCUCAUGCUCGUGAACAGGCAAGGUGUCAUGGUCAACAUGUCUUCUGUCAACAUUUUCCUCUCUCAUAGGCUCAUAGCCAUACUACGAUUUUUUCCGUUAAGCUUGAAUUUUAAUUGGAAAAACAAAUCCUUCU